CCUACGGGGGGCUGCAGUAGGGAAUCUUCCGCAAUGGACGAAAGUCUGACGGAGCAACGCCGCGUGAGUGAAGAAGGUUUUCGGAUCGUAAAACUCUGUUGUCAGAGAAGAACAAGUUGGAGAGUAACUGCUCCAGCCUUGACGGUAUCUGACCAGAAAGCCACGGCUAACUACGUGCCAGCAGCCGCGGUAAUACGUAGGGGGCAAGCGGGGUCCGGAGUUAGUGCGCGUAAUGCCUUAAGUGGGGGGUGAAAGCCCACGGGUCAACCGUGGAAGGUCAUUGGAAACUGGGGAACUUGAGUGCAGAAGAGGAGAGUGGAAUUCCAUGUGUAGCGGUGAAAUGCGUAGAUAUAUGGAGGAACACCAGUGGCGAAGGCGACUCUCUGGUCUGUAACUGACGCUGAGGCUCGAAAGCGUGGGGAGCAAACAGGAUUAGAUACCCUUGUAGUC
rnacentral:rRNA from 1 species